UACAGAGGUGGCAAGCGUUGUUCGGAUUUAUUGGGUGUAAAGGGCAGGUAGGCGGUUGUGCAAGUCUGUGGUGAAAUCCUGAAGCUUAACUUCAGAACUGCCAUGGAAACUACACAGCUGGAGUGUCGGAGAGGUGAGGGGAAUUCUCGGUGUAAGGGUGAAAUCUGUAGAUAUCGAGAGGAAUACCGAUGGCGAAGGCAUCUCACUGGCCGAUUACUGACGCUGAGCUGCGAAAGCUGGGGGAG
rnacentral:rRNA from 1 species